rnacentral:rRNA from 1 species
CAAGUCGAACGGUAACAGGAAGAAGCUUGCUUCUUUGCUGACGAGUGGCGGACGGGUGAGUAAUGUCUGGGAAACUGCCUGAUGGAGGGGGAUAACUACUGGAAACGGUAGCUAAUACCGCAUAACGUCGCAAGACCAAAGAGGGGGACCUUCGGGCCUCUUGCCAUCGGAUGUGCCCAGAUGGGAUUAGCUUGUUGGUGGGGUAACGGCUCACCAAGGCGACGAUCCCUAGCUGGUCUGAGAGGAUGACCAGCCACACUGGAACUGAGACACGGUCCAGACUCCUACGGGAGGCAGCAGUGGGGAAUAUUGCACAAUGGGCGCAAGCCUGAUGCAGCCAUGCCGCGUGUAUGAAGAAGGCCUUCGGGUUGUAAAGUACUUUCAGCGGGGAGGAAGGGAGUAAAGUUAAUACCUUUGCUCAUUGACGUUACCCGCAGAAGAAGCACCGGCUAACUCCGUGCCAGCAGCCGCGGUAAUACGGAGGGUGCAAGCGUUAAUCGGAAUUACUGGGCGUAAAGCGCACGCAGGCGGUUUGUUAAGUCAGAUGUGAAAUCCCCGGGCUCAACCUGGGAACUGCAUCUGAUACUGGCAAGCUUGAGUCUCGUAGAGGGGGGUAGAAUUCCAGGUGUAGCGGUGAAAUGCGUAGAGAUCUGGAGGAAUACCGGUGGCGAAGGCGGCCCC